rnacentral:rRNA from 1 species
AUAAAGACCCGUAUGAAUGGCUAAAUGAAUAUUUAACUGUCUCCUUUAACUAAUCAGUGAAACUGAUCUCUCAGUACAAAAGCUGAAAUACAGACAUAAGACGAGAAGACCCCGUGGAGCUUUAAACUUUUAACAAAAUAGAACAAAACAGGUAUUUAUGAUAAAAAGUUUUUAGUUGGGGCGACUUUGGAGUAAAACUAAACCUCCAAGAAAAGGCAUCGCCUAUUCAAGGCUAACAAGCCAAACUAUAAUAGACCCAGCACAUACUAACGCUGAUCAACGAACCAAGUUACCCCAGGGAUAACAGCGCCAUCUUCUUCAAGAGUUCAUAUCGACAAGAAGGUUUACGACCUCGAUGUUGGAUCAGGACACCCAAAUGGUGCAGCUGCUAUUAAAGGUUCGUUUGUUCAACGAUUAAUAGUCCUACGUGA